rnacentral:rRNA from 1 species
AACGAACGCUGGCGGCAUGCCUAACACAUGCAAGUCGAACGAGACCUUCGGGUCUAGUGGCGAACGGGUGCGUAACGCGUGGGAACCUGCCCUUAGGUUCGGAAUAACUCCCCGAAAGGGGUGCUAAUACCGGAUAAUGUCUUCGGACCAAAGAUUUAUCGCCUUUGGAUGGGCCCGCGUUGGAUUAGCUAGUUGGUAGGGUAAAAGCCUACCAAGGCGACGAUCCAUAGCUGGUCUGAGAGGAUGAUCAGCCACACUGGGACUGAGACACGGCCCAGACUCCUACGGGAGGCAGCAGUUGGGAAUAUUGGACAAUGGGCGAAAGCCUGAUCCAGCAAUGCCGCGUGAGUGAUGAAGGCCUUAGGGUUGUAAAGCUCUUUUACCCGGGAUGAUAAUGACAGUACCGGGAGAAUAAGCUCCGGCUAACUCCGUG